rnacentral:tRNA from 1 species
GGAGAGGUCGCAUAGUUGGUCUAGUGCACGCGACUGGAAAUCGCGAGUCCGAAAGGAUACGCAGGUUCGAAUCCUGUCCUCUCCG